rnacentral:tRNA from 1 species
GCCUAGCUGGCUCAGUCGGUAGAGCAUGCAACUCUUGAUCUCCGGGUUAUAGGUUCAAGUCCCAUGUUGGGUG